UACAGAGGGUGCGAGCGUUAAUCGGAAUUAUUGGGCGUAAAGGGUGCGCAGGCGGUUCGAUAAGUGUGUCUGUCAAGCCCAGGGCUUACCCUUGGGACUCGGACGCAAACUGUCGGACUAGAGUUCGCAAGAGGUCAGUGGAAUUCCUGGUGUAGCGGUGAAAUGUAUAGAGAUCAGGAGGAACACCCGUGGCGAAAGCGGCUGACUGGUGCUGAACUGACGCUGAGGCACGAAAGCCAGGGGAGCAAACGGG
rnacentral:rRNA from 1 species